rnacentral:rRNA from 1 species
AUUGAACGCUGGCGGCAGGCUUAACACAUGCAAGUCGAGCGGAGAUGAGGUGCUUGCACCUUAUCUUAGCGGCAGACGGGUGAGUAAUGCUUAGGAAUCUGCCUAUUAGUGGGGGACAACAUUCCGAAAGGAAUGCUAAUACCGCAUACGCCCUACGGGGGAACGCAGGGGAUCUUCGGACCUUGCGCUAAUAGAUGAGCAUAAGUCGGAUUAGCUAGUUGGUGGGGUAAAGGCCUACCAAGGCGACGAUCUGUAGCGGGUCUGAGAGGAUGAACCGCCACACUGGGACUGAGACACGGCCCAGACUCCUACGGGAGGCAGCAGUGGGGAAUAUUGGACAAUGGGCGGAAGCCUGAUCCAGCCAUGCCGCGUGUGUGAAGAAGGCCUUUUGGUUGUAAAGCACUUUAAGCGAGGAGGAGGCUACCUGGAUUAAUACUCUAGGAUAGUGGGCGUUACUCGCAGAAUAAGCACCGGCUAACUCUGUGCCAGCAGCCGCCGUAAAAC